CUCAUACUUUUGAUUUUGUCUUUUUUCUUUUUUGGGCAUGUCUUAUUGGGGUUCUAUGUUGGCUGACUUGGUGAUGGUGAUGGCACGCCGGUGAAGAAGAUGCCAAUGAAGAGAUUAUUCGGCCUAAGAAUUUUUGCAGACAAUAUGGGGUAAUAAUGAUCAUUUAUUCAGUACAGUUGUGGAAAAAAAUUGAGUCUGGGUGAUGAAGUAAAAAGGUUUAGUUAUAUUAUUUGAUAUUUGGUAAAGUAAGUUAUAUUGUUGAGUUGUUGGUGUUUUAAGUAAUAGUCGUCUGGAAUUUUGAAAUUAUGUAAGUGAUAGGCUCUUAUAUGAACUUCAGAUUAUAUUGAGAUAUUAAAGUCAAAUAUUAGAGUUAGACGAAGGCCGGCUUGGGAAAGAGUCGAUCAUCUUUCUCAUGACGAGAGAAGGGAAAAACUGAAUUUGAGUGAUGAAGUUAUGUGAUUUUGCACAACUGUUUAGAUGAAAUAAGUAAUGAUAUUGGUUUAAUUGGUGAGUUAUAUGCUCCGCAGAGGAUUUACAUCAUGAGGCACAUUGUGGUGAGAAUAAUAUGGUAUGCUGCAAUAUUGACAUUUACUUAUAGCCAAUUGAGUCAUAAGAAAUUAAUACAAUUUAAAGUUUGGUAUUUUCAUAUGUUAGAGACAACAAAAUCAUUUUUAUGGACCUGCUGGACGGUGAUCUUUCAUUGAACACUAUAGUGAUAAGACACAAAGACUGACUCAUAAGAUCCGACGUAUAUCGUUGGGAUUGCCUACAUGCGACAUCCUUUUUCAUGGAGGCCAUGCUUAGAACUUAUCAGCCAGCUCAAAAGCAAAUACACAAUCUGCCUGAGUACGAAGGUAGUAGCAGAGGAGGAAGACUGCAGUUGUCCUAUGUUAUUGUCGAAGGGAUGUCUAUCAUUCAGUUCUCCACUACCUGAAUCAGAAUGAGCAUGCUAAAAGAACUCAUUACUAUCAUGGUUGAAGACACUGCUGUUUUGACUAUAGGUGUUGACCAUGUGCAACUAUCAAUCGCAAUUAGCUGCUGCAAUACACUAUAUUUAGCAUAUUAUCAGGAAAGUUAAUUUUGCAUGUUACAAAAGUUAAUCUUUUUCUCUUGUACAUGUUAGAAGUUCGCUGGAUCAGUCUCAGAUUUAAUGGCAUUCUCUAAUGAGAUUCAUUGGCUAUAGCUCAACAUCUCUACACAGGUGGUUUUCCUUCUUUCCUACUAAUUCAAUUAUGUUGGUGUGAUAAGCUGAAAGCGUCUUACUCCAUCUCGUUUUUGUUUGGUGGGUGUUAAUAUUUAGGUCAUAUUAUUUGACGAGAAAGUUUGUUCUUCCAUUUCUGUUACAUGGGUGGUUACUUGCUUUUAGAGUUUAUUUUGGCUUCAAUCAAUUAAAUUUCUUGUUCUUCAUGUAAAUAGUAAUACCAUCCAUUAAAUUAUAUGGAAGACAAGUAACUGAUACUCGCACUUGAUAUUAUGGGGACAUUAAGAUUAAGAACAAGCAAAUAUGCUAUCACUUUGAAGAAUUCUAUGAACCUUACAAAUCAAUGGCAUUGAGGUAUCUGGUCCUUUACUAUUUGAUGAUUCAAUUUGAAUAUUUCUUUUACUGGGCUCCAUUAUUUGUCAGAGACAUUGAUUGGUGUUCUCAUAUCUAUCUGUGCACAAUUAUUAUUUUCAGUUUUGAUUUGUUCUCAAUGAUAUUAUUCACAGAUAUUAAGAAUUAAUUUAUACGGAUGAUCUUAUCAUCAAUGAGGUGUGAUAAUUAUAGUCAUGUCUACAUGUGUGGUUGUUGGUAAUGCUUCCUUGGCUUUCUUAUGUGUUUCAUAAAAGUUGUUCCGGCACAUACCUAUUUAUUGGUACCUGCUGUUUACUAAGCAGCUUUAACAUUAAAUGAGUCCCAAAAAUUUGAUGGUUCUUACAGUGGUCAAAAUGGUUCAUAAGUGAAGUGGAUUUCAUGUGAGCAACAUGCAUAAGUUACGAGCAUGGUAGACUUUACUUGGUGGGCUGAUCUUACAGAGAAUUCGUCUGACAAAUUUAUGAUUUUGUAGCUUAAGUUUAUCAUUUUGGUGGGUUAUUUUUGACAAAACAUGGUUAGAUUCAGUGUAAAUUUGGUGUUGUAUUUUUAUUUCAUGCUUCUAUUUUCUUAAAGUUGAUCCCGCAGGGAAUAUGCACGUGUCCAAGUUUAGUUCGUUCCUUAUUUUUCAUCAAAGUAGAGGGAUGGUUGACCAUGAAGGUACGGUGUGCAGGCUGGAGCUAAUUUGGAGUCAUUGAAGAUAUGUCAUUCUAAAGCGCAAAAAACAUUAGCAGCAUUAAUUUACAGGUUCAAAAUUUUAUUUUAUUUUAAUUAUUCUGAUAUUUUUAUUUAUAAAUAUGUAAAACAGAAAAAUAAAUUUUAUGAUUUUUUCCAAUGAAGGUUUCAACCUGAAAUUUUAAAAGAAAACGUUUAGGUUUUGACUUUCUAAAUUAAAUCUACAACGUCAAGAGAUCCCA